CACAGAGUAAAUUAAGGAAUGCAUUAUAGCUGUUAAAGCAAUCUUAAGGGAAAUCCGAAGCUUCCACUGCAGCACCAUGCUUAGAAGUUCCUGUUUUCUUCAAUGUCAAAUAGCAGUGAAAACAAAAAAUCUCCCACUUCCAGUUCUAGGAGAAUAUUAGGCUGCACAGAUCCAGAGACUAACUUCUGGAGUUCCAGGGAAGUGCUGAACCAGAUGUCCUGGUGCAUGAGGCCUGGUUUCUCUACCAUAGAGAUUCAAGGAGACAAGAUGGAAAGCAACAAGUGGAGCUAAAAGAACUGAGCAAUGUUUCAGCUGCUCCCUACUGAAGUAGAG
rnacentral:lncRNA from 1 species